CCUACGGGAGGCAGCAGUGAGGAAUAUUGGACAAUGGGCGAGAGCCUGAUCCAGCCAUGCCGCGUGCAGGAUGACUGCCCUAUGGGUUGUAAACUGCUUUUAUACAGGAAGAAACGGCUUUACGUGUAGAGCUCUGACGGUACUGUAAGAAUAAGGAUCGGCUAACUCCGUGCCAGCAGCCGCGGUAAUACGGAGGAUCCAAGCGUUAUCCGGAAUCAUUGGGUUUAAAGGGUCCGUAGGUGGAUAAUUAAGUCAGAGGUGAAAUCCUGCAGCUCAACUGUAGAAUUGCCUUUGAUACUGGUUAUCUUGAGUUACUAUGAAGUAGUUAGAAUAUGUAGUGUAGCGGUGAAAUGCAUAGAUAUUACAUAGAAUACCAAUUGCGAAGGCAGAUUACUAAUAGUACACUGACACUGAUGGACGAAAGCGUGGGUAGCGAACGGGAUUAGAUACCCCGGUAGUCCACGCCGUAAACGAUGGUCACUAGCUGUUCGGACUUCGGUCUGAGUGGCUAAGCGAAAGUGAUAAGUGACCCACCUGGGGAGUACGUUCGCAAGAAUGAAACUCAAAGGAAUUGACGG
rnacentral:rRNA from 1 species